GAAAGAUAAAAGCCCAGAGGGAAAAGGUAGAUGGGUUAAUUUAAGGUUAAAAAAAUAAGCUGGUUAGAAUAAACCAAGCUAAGGCUGAGCAUUGAUAACUAAGAAUAUUUGGGAGCUGGGUGGUAACACCCGCCAAAGAAAAAAGAUCAAAGACAACACAACAGGCUGCAUCCUGUUAGGUGGUUGACAUAUUCCAAAAAGUGGAUAAAAUAUACACUAAUCAUAAUUUGAGUAACUUAAGGCCCCAAUAGAAAGGAGAAUGCAAACUGUUCCUCCUCUCUAUCCUGUGUGUCUCCUUGUACCAUAGACCAUUUGAAAGCUGGGGCUGUUGAUAGUACCAAAGCCUUCAUUUCCUCACAAGAACAUGGCUGCCAAUCUGGGAAGAAUACUGCAUUUUAUUCUUUAUCUACCCUGAGUUCCACAGAUAAAACAGCUGUUUGUGAGACUUGGGUGCUGACGGAGCACAUUAAUUACUGUCAUCGGGAUUUGGAUCCACUGGAGAGCUGCUGGAAGCCCUGAACGUGUCUGUCCUGUGGUGUGCUCCAAAGAGGGCUCAUUUGAUUUGCAGUGGGCGUGGCUAAAGGAGACACAACCCAGGAAGGUCCUUAGGAGGGUAAGCAACAAGUCAGAGCUAAAUUCUCAGGUAAAUUAUUCUCAGUCCUUUCAUUAAGUCUAUUUUUAAGAAUAUGUAAUUUUAUUUUCCAUGUGAUAUGCACUGAAAUACUGCAAUAAAGGCAUGGCUGCAAUCA
rnacentral:lncRNA from 1 species